CUAUUCAUAGGUGCAAUUGUAGUGUUCUAUAGCCUUGAACUCCUGAGCUCAAGAAAUCCUCCUGCCUCAGCCUCCUGAGUAUCUAGGACUACAGGUGUGGGCCACCAUGCCCAGCUCAUAUUGUUUUUUUUUUUUUUAAUCAUGAAUUAAGAAAUCAGUCUCCUGAGUAAGAAAAACAUCAAAUAGCUUAUUUUAGUAAAGAGAACAAAAAUAACUAAUUAGCUAAAGCUUUCAUUUUUAUAGAUUAUAUUGAUAUUGUAUAUAUAACCAGGAAAAGUCAGCCAAAAUAAAAUGAAAAAAUUUUAAUUAGAUUGCAUUAUAAUAUAUAUUUACAGCUUGCCUGCCUCUGUAAGAAAAUCAUGCAAUAAAAUAAAGCAUACGAAACAAAACCAUAAAAGGGAAACUAGAGAAGAAAAUUACAUUAAGAAAACAUCCUUGAGAAAAGUCAUAGCACUUUAACAUGACACUUGGCUCUGAGUUUCCUGUAAGCCACCGUGAAGAGGAAAACAUGAUGAAAUACACACUUCUUAUUGUCCAAUAGAAGGAAAGAUUGUAGUUCAACAGAAGAGACAAACUUUUUCCUGGCCCUGAGAUAAUUUAUCAUAUCUGUACUUAUAUAGAUGACAUGGAGAAAAUAGAAACAGGAUCCUGAAUGUCAAUUUUACAAAUAAAGAUGAAAGACAAAAUAUAUGUGAGACCGUUUCUGUUUUCAGGAGUGAGUGAGAGAUGAGGACAUAACAUUCAGUCAUGGCGCUACAAAAGCUGUUUCCUAAAGGUUUUAAAUUUUCAGGUCCUUGUAAGAUUUCCUUUGAAAGGAAAGGUCUGCUGGAAGAUGGACAAAUCUGCAGUAUUAGACACGUUUAUUGAUGAAGCUUUCCCUGACCACCCUAUUUAAAAAGCACCCACCUGUCCUGGUCCAGCACUCCUUAUCUGCUUUCCCUGCUUUGUUUUUCUCAACAAAGCUUAUCAACAUUCAAUUUACUAUAUAAUUUACUUCCUUAUUUUGUGUAUGGGUCAGGGUUAGAGCAGGAAACAGUACCCUCGAACUGGAUGACUUGGGACAGUGUAAUAAAAGAGUGGUUAACAAAGGUGUGGGCAAGGUUUAGGGAAGCUUCAGAGGGCUGCUGUAAUGUGAUGGGACCAGCAACCAUGGUGGUGGUGCUGGUGGGAGCCAUUGCCACCCCAAGGCCUAUAGGGUCAAAGUGAGAGAACAGUUACCAGGACAGAGAGAGGCACCUAGAAAGGAUAGCAAUGUGGAGCGGGCUGCCUCUGGGAGAAGGAUGCAGCCAUCCCUUGAUGAGUCAACUCAACUUGUCAACUCCUCUUGUUCUCUGAUCUCUUGCAAGUUCCUCCCAUUGGCUAAAUCUACCUGGAGGCAGAAGAGAAAGUGAGCUUAUGGAUGCAGUCUAUACAGAUGGGCCUCGCAGGGCACAGAUCAGAGUGGAGAGUGGACCAGGAGGUGGAAACAGACGAUGUCUUCUAUAUUUCAUUUGUCUUUUUCCUCCCACUAAAACAUAAGUUCUAUGAAGGAUGGGAUUUCUUUUUUUUUAGAUGCGGUCUCGCUCUUGUUGCCCAGGCUAGAGUGUGGUGGCACAGUCAUAGUUCACUGCACCCUCAAACUCCUGGGCUCAAACAAUCCUCCCACCUCGGCUUCCCAAAGCACUGGGAUUACAGGUUAUCUGCUUCCAUCUCUUGCAUACCUUGUGCUUGGAUGAGUGCCUGACUCAGAGUUGGCGCUCGGUAAAUAGUUCUUCAGUAAAGGAAUAUCAGUUGUUUUCAUGUGAGUUUCAAAACUCAACUACAGUAGUGUAGUCACCACAGUCUAUUUAUAUCACCACAGGAGAUACUUUUUAAAUUUGUUCUGUCUCCCUGAUUUAUAUGAGUAAUGGUUAACACUCUCUUCUCUCUCUCUUUCUCUCUCUCUCUCUCUAUAUAUAUAUACACACAUACAUAUAUAUACUUAUAUAUGUAUGUAUGUAUAUAGUUUGUGUGUGUGCUUGUAGCCACCAAAUUAGUGUAUAUAAAAUUAUUAUAUUAUUAUAUUAUUAGUUCUUUUGAAAUGGUCUUCAGCUAGAUUUUGAGUAACCAUAUUUAGAAGAAAAACCUCCUACACAGGUAUUUUCUGUUUAUUA
rnacentral:lncRNA from 1 species